UUUGCCAACUUCACUUUCAGUCAAACAGGAUACCUCAUUUUACCUAAUGGUAGAAAAUGGCUCUCCAAGCACAGCUUUACGCCAGCCUCAAAUUGCCAGUGCUCAGAGUAGGUAGCUGGUCCCCUGGAAGUGGAUGGAGAAUCUCGUCCCAGCACUCAUACAGGAGCUGCCUAGCUACAAGGCAUAGUAAGGGAAGAGAGAAUUCUUGCACACUCUUCAGCCAUUCUGAACAGUGUCUAGUGAUGAGGAAGUGACAGCAAUGAAGAGUUAUGGACUGGCAAAACAAACAGCAGCAAAGAGAGACCAUUUUAUGGCAGUAAAAAUGCAACUUUCAAGAUCUACCAUUCUGCCUAUUCAUAUUAUGCUCAUUUGAAAACAAAUGUACAUAAAAACUUUGUGCCAUGUACAUCUUUGAACAAGCUCUCCAUUUUGAAAAGAAGACUUUCAAGAGGUUAAUUGACCUCUUUCUUGAAAGGAAUCUGAACAAACCUCUUACCUGGAACAAGUCUCAACAGAUUAAAUACUUUCUUGCUCUUGGUGGUUUUUAUUCUUUUAUUUUUUGACUGAAUCAUUUGUUGUCUUUAGUCAUAAAGACUGUUUCACGCUUGCAGUGAUGAAUAUUAAAACACAGUCAAAAGACA